AAGCUCGUAGUUGAAUUUCGGGAUUAGUACGUCGGUCGUGCCUUAGGUACGUACUGGUGUUACUGGUUCCUACCUUCUGACGAACCAUCAUGUCAUUAAUUUGGUGUGGUGGGGAAUCAUGACAGUUACUUUGAAAAAAUUAGAGUGUUUAAAGCAGGCUCGCGCUUGAAUACAUUAGCAUGGAAUAAUGAAAUAGGACGUUGAUCCUAUUUUGUUGGUUUCUAGGAUUGACGUAAUGAUUAAUAGGGAUAGUUGGGCGAGCGGGCUGGCAAGG
rnacentral:rRNA from 1 species